UACGAACCGUCCAAACGUUAUUCGGAUUUAUUGGGCUUAAAGGGUAUGUAGGCGGCGCUGUCAGUCGGGUGUGAAAGCCCUCGGCUCAACCGAGGAAUUGCGCCCGAUACUGCAGUGCUUGAGGGAGACAGAGGUAAGCGGAACUGAUGGUGGAGCGGUGAAAUGCGUUGAUAUCAUCAGGAACACCAGUGGCGAAAGCGGCUUACUGGGUCUCUUCUGACGCUGAGAUACGAAAGCGAGGGGAGCGAACGGG
rnacentral:rRNA from 1 species